GAGCCGGGCGGAAGUGGUCCUUCCCAUUUUACGUCUGAGCCUAAAGUACUGCUAGAGGGUGCCCGGAAUGGUUCCGGUUUACGUUUCGUGUCCUUGUAUAAUUAUUAAAAGAGCUCCCUUUCACCGUCAAAAGCGUACCAGGUGAGGAUAAAUUACAUCGUCUUCCUAGUUCUAGUCAUUUUGGUUUGAAAUAGGAAGGAAGGAGGCGAGCAGGUGAGGGGCGUUCUAAUGGGUCCCGCGCUCGACUUCCGGUAGCCAGGAGACACUAAUUUCGAAACGUGGGUAUAUGCAAGGGCAUCUUUUCUGUUUCAACAACAGCUGUGCUAACUAAAGUGAGACACGUUUUCUAACUUCUCUUGGUAAGACUGAGAAAUUAAGCAGUAGUACUUCCUGAAACCAUCAAACAGAAAAAUGUCAGUGACACUGCAUACAGAUGUAGGUGAUAUUAAAAUAGAAGUGUUCUGUGAGAGGACACCCAAAACUUGUGAGAAUUUUUUGGCUCUUUGUGCCAGUAAUUACUACAAUGGCUGUAUAUUUCAUAGAAAUAUCAAAGGUUUCAUGGUUCAAACAGGAGAUCCGACAGGUACCGGAAGAGGAGGUAACAGUAUCUGGGGCAAGAAAUUUGAGGAUGAAUAUAGUGAAUAUCUUAAGAUAAAGAAACUAGCCAGAGUCCAGUGUAUGUGUCAAGAGCUUAUGGGGAUUUUGGUUUUGUUGUCUGCCUGAUCGUUUCACGCCAGCAUGUUCCUUAAUAUAAUCACAAUGUUAGAGGUGUUGUAUCUAUGGCUAAUAAUGGGCCAAACACCAAUGGAUCUCAGUUCUUCAUCACCUAUGGCAAGCAGCCACAUUUGGACAUGAAAUACACAGUAUUUGGAAAGGUAAUAGAUGGUCUGGAGACUCUGGAUGAAUUGGAGAAGUUACCAGUAAAUGAGAAGACCUAUCGACCUCUUAACGAUGUACACAUUAAGGACAUAACUAUUCAUGCCAAUCCAUUUGCACAAUAGCAGUAAUCUGGAAAAAUAUUUGGCAGACUAUUCAAGGAACACACCUACUGUGGUUUACCCAGUUUUAAUUAUGUUCAAAGAUUACAUCAUCCUUCUUGUUUAUAGCUAAGAUCUUCUAUGAGUUGGUGGUACCAUGGGGGCCCAAACAGCUUUUAUUCCCAUUAUUAAAGCAUAUUUUUUAUUAAACUAUUAUCUAAUGUA